rnacentral:rRNA from 1 species
GAUGAACGCUGGCGGCGUGCCUAAUACAUGCAAGUCGAGCGAACAGAUAAGGAGCUUGCUCCUUUGACGUUAGCGGCGGACGGGUGAGUAACACGUGGGUAACCUACCUAUAAGACUGGGAUAACUUCGGGAAACCGGAGCUAAUACCGGAUAACAUUUGGAACCGCAUGGUUCUAAAGUGAAAGAUGGUUUUGCUAUCACUUAUAGAUGGACCCGCGCCGUAUUAGCUAGUUGGUAAGGUAACGGCUUACCAAGGCAACGAUACGUAGCCGACCUGAGAGGGUGAUCGGCCACACUGGAACUGAGACACGGUCCAGACUCCUACGGGAGGCAGCAGUAGGGAAUCUUCCGCAAUGGGCGAAAGCCUGACGGAGCAACGCCGCGUGAGUGAUGAAGGGUUUCGGCUCGUAAAACUCUGUUAUUAGGGAAAAACAAACGUGUAAGUAACUGUGCACGUCUUGACGGUACCUAAUCAGAAAGCCACGGCUAACUACGUG